CCCUGGGUGACGAGCGGCGGACGGGUGAGUAAUGUCUGGGAAACUGCCUGAUGGAGGGGGAUAACUACUGGAAACGGUAGCUAAUACCGCAUAACGUCGCAAGACCAAAGAGGGGGACCUUCGGGCCUCUUGCCAUCAGAUGUGCCCAGAUGGGAUUAGCUAGUAGGUGGGGUAAUGGCUCACCUAGGCGACGAUCCCUAGCUGGUCUGAGAGGAUGACCAGCCACACUGGAACUGAGACACGGUCCAGACUCCUACGGGAGGCAGCAGUGGGGAAUAUUGCACAAUGGGCGCAAGCCUGAUGCAGCCAUGCCGCGUGUGUGAAGAAGGCCUUCGGGUUGUAAAGCACUUUCAGCGAGGAGGAAGGUGGUGAGCUUAAUACGUUCAUCAAUUGACGUUACUCGCAGAAGAAGCACCGGCUAACUCCGUGCCAGCAGCCGCGGUAAUACGGAGGGUGCAAGCGUUAAUCGGAAUUACUGGGCGUAAAGCGCACGCAGGCGGUUUGUUAAGUCAGAUGUGAAAUCCCCGGGCUCAACCUGGGAACUGCAUUUGAAACUGGCAAGCUAGAGUCUCGUAGAGGGGGGUAGAAUUCCAGGUGUAGCGGUGAAAUGCGUAGAGAUCUGGAGGAAUACCGGUGGCGA
rnacentral:rRNA from 2 species